CUCGUAGCCGGCGGUCGCGGCGGGUAGCGAGGCGGCCGGGGGCAGGGCGGCCGAAGCUGGCAGUGGUGUCAGAUGAGGAAGGUGAGACACAGAGAGGUCAAGUAAGUCUCUUGAUGUCACACAGCUGCUUUAAAUCCAGGCCGUCUGACACAGGGACAGACAAUAUCUGAGACACGUUGUGGGGCAGGAAGGAGCCGGUCUGGGGAAGUGGAACCCGCUACAUCCAUGUCCACUUUGGUGUCCUGAGGUAGCAGGUCUGGAAUGAGGGCAGCUUUUCCCGCCCGUCUCCCUGCACAGCAGCAUGUCAGCUUGCAGCAGGAGCAUUAGGAGAAGAAACAGAAACCCACUCGCAGCUGCUGAGACAGGCCCACAGUGGGGAAGGAGGGGCAUAGAAGGCCCCAACCUUGGCUUUCAGGAGCAGGAUCCAGCUGGCAAGAUGCUAACAGAUGUCAGCGUGCUGCAGACUCUUUCCAGCAGAACAGAUAGACCGUUCUUUCAGACUGGGUGGCCUUGCAAAAACCUGAGUUUGCCACAUGUUAGCAGUUGAGUAACUGUGUGUCUGAGUCCAGCAGGUGUGUGUGGGCUCCCGGGCUCCUGGGGCUUCAGAGACAGGAUGGGGUGAUUCAUGACUGGUGAGGGGCAAAGCCAGGACUUGGGCUGGGUCAUCCCAUCUUCCAGCCGGGAACAUGGCCCUCAGCAACCUUGUCAGCUUCUGCAUAAACCUUGUUUGGCAUCAACACAUGGGGAUUUUCCUUGGUGCUUCUAGUUGACGCCUUGCUAUGUAUUAGAUGAGCUGCACUCAUGGGCCCUGAGACCCUCCUCUCAGCUCAGCCUCCCCUCUCAUUCCUUCCUUCAGGACCCUCUUCUGCCUCACCCACCCCUCAAGCAUAGGAUGGGUGGGGGGAUGGAUUGAUGGGUGAACGAGUGUAUGAUGGGUGAAAGGGUAAGUGGGUUAGGCUUCCACUCUAGGCACCCUUCUCUUUCGUAUGUACUUCUUUACAGGUGAUGGAAUCUGAAAGUCUAUCUUCAGUCCAGACGCUCAAGAGUCUAUAGCCUGCCAUAGGCGUCCACCCCAUGGUCCCCUGGGUCCCUUUCCCACCAUCAUGCUGUCAUGCCUACCUCUCUUGCAGUCACUGAGCUGGCACUACACUCCUCCCCAUGAGCCAAGCAGCUAGCUUCAUCUAUGCUCCCUUCUAGAUUCCUCUCACUGCUGAAUACCUAACCUGGCCCCUCUCACCUAUCAUAUUUCUCUGAUACUCCCAGACUCUGCCUGCACUCACCCAGUGCCUGAUGGGCACAUCUGGCCAACUUGUUCUCCAGGGGCUCCUUUGGGAAUAGUCCAGGACCCCUGGCCUCCAGGCCUUGCCUCUUCCCCAGGGCCCAACUUCCUGUUUCCUUGUCUCCCCUCAGUGUCUCUGAGUGAGGCUGAGUUGUUUCCUCUGCCCAGGAGUGCCACUCCCUAGAAUCACUAACCAAUGGCCCUGUUACCACCCGUGUAGCACCUUUUGUCUUUGGGAGUCCUUUCCUCCGUUGAAAAGUUUUAAAUUAUAACUUAUAACUCUAUUGGUAUAAAGAUAAAUAUAGCCCAUGAUAGAUUCAUUCUUCAACAUUCAUUGUUAUUAUAUUCUUUUUUCAUUCUGGU